GGGAUGGGGUCGCGUCCUAUCAGCUUGAUGGCGGGGUAACGGCCCACCAUGGCUUCGACGGGUAGCCGGCCUGAGAGGGCGACCGGCCACAUUGGGACUGAGAUACGGCCCAGACUCCUACGGGAGGCAGCAGUGGGGAAUAUUGCACAAUGGGCGCAAGCCUGAUGCAGCGACGCCGCGUGCGGGAUGACGGCCUUCGGGUUGUAAACCGCUUUUGACUGGGAGCAAGCCCUUCGGGGUGAGUGUACCUUUCGAAUAAGCACCGGCUAACUACGUGCCAGCAGCCGCGGUAAUACGUAGGGUGCAAGCGUUAUCCGGAAUUAUUGGGCGUAAAGGGCUCGUAGGCGGUUCGUCGCGUCCGGUGUGAAAGUCCAUCGCUUAACGGUGGAUCCGCGCCGGGUACGGGCGGG
rnacentral:rRNA from 1 species